rnacentral:sRNA from 1 species
GCACCUGCAAAUUCAGGUGCCAGGAUUGGCAUCCUGCAUCACCCUUGUUGGCAACAUAGUUAUAAAUUACUAUGUU